rnacentral:rRNA from 1 species
CAGGGCGAAUGUCUUGUAAUUGGAAUGAUGGUGACCCAAACCCUCACCAGAGUAGCAAUUGGAGGGCAAGUCUGGUGCCAGCAGCCGCGGUAAUUCCAGCUCCAAUAGCGUAUAUUAAACUUGUUGCAGUUAAAAAGCUCGUAGUUGUAUUUUUGCGUUAGCGGUUUGACCAUUUGGUUGGUUAUUUCGUUUUCGCUUUUAGGAAUUUCCCUUUUUACUUUGAGAAAAUUAGAGUGUUUCAAGCAGACUUUUGUCUUGAAUACUUCAGCAUGGAAUAAUAGAGUAGGACUUUGGUUCUAUUUUGUUGGUUAUUGAACCUUAGUAAUGGUUAAUAGGAACGGUUGGGGGCAUUCGUAUUUAACUGUCAGAGGUGAAAUUCUUAG